AUACAUGCAAGUCGAGCGGACAGAAGGGAGCUUGCUCCCGGAUGUUAGCGGCGGACGGGUGAGUAACACGUGGGUAACCUGCCUGUAAGACUGGGAUAACUCCGGGAAACCGGAGCUAAUACCGGAUAGUUCCUUGAACCGCAUGGUUCAAGGAUGAAAGACGGUUUCGGCUGUCACUUACAGAUGGACCCGCGGCGCAUUAGCUAGUUGGUGAGGUAACGGCUCACCAAGGCGACGAUGCGUAGCCGACCUGAGAGGGUGAUCGGCCACACUGGGACUGAGACACGGCCCAGACUCCUACGGGAGGCAGCAGUAGGGAAUCUUCCGCAAUGGACGAAAGUCUGACGGAGCAACGCCGCGUGAGUGAUGAAGGUUUUCGGAUCGUAAAGCUCUGUUGUUAGGGAAGAACAAGUGCAAGAGUAACUGCUUGCACCUUGACGGUACCUAACCAGAAAGCCACGGCUAACUACGUGCCAGCAGCCGCGGUAAUACGUAGGUGGCAAGCGUUGUCCGGAAUUAUUGGGCGUAAAGGGCUCGCAGGCGGUUUCUUAAGUCUGAUGUGAAAGCCCCCGGCUCAACCGGGGAGGGUCAUUGGAAACUGGGAAACUUGAGUGCAGAAGAGGAGAGUGGAAUUCCACGUGUAGCGGUGAAAUGCGUAGAGAUGUGGAGGAACACCAGUGGCGAAGGCGACUCUCUGGUCUGUAACUGACGCUGAGGAGCGAAAGCGUGGGGAGCGAACAGGAUUAGAUACCCUGGUAGUCCACGCCGUAAACGAUGAGUGCUAAGUGUUAGGGGGUUUCCGCCCCUUAGUGCUGCAGCUAACGCAUUAAGCACUCCGCCUGGGGAGUACGGUCGCAAGACUGAAACUCAAAGGAAUUGACGGGGGCCCGCACAAGCGGUGGAGCAUGUGGUUUAAUUCGAAGCAACGCGAAGAACCUUACCAGGUCUUGACAUCCUCUGACAACCCUAGAGAUAGGGCUUUCCCUUCGGGGACAGAGUGACAGGUGGUGCAUGGUUGUCGUCAGCUCGUGUCGUGAGAUGUUGGGUUAAGUCCCGCAACGAGCGCAACCCUUGAUCUUAGUUGCCAGCAUUCAGUUGGGCACUCUAAGGUGACUGCCGGUGACAAACCGGAGGAAGGUGGGGAUGACGUCAAAUCAUCAUGCCCCUUAUGACCUGGGCUACACACGUGCUACAAUGGACAGAACAAAGGGCUGCGAGACCGCAAGGUUUAGCCAAUCCCACAAAUCUGUUCUCAGUUCGGAUCGCAGUCUGCAACUCGACUGCGUGAAGCUGGAAUCGCUAGUAAUCGCGGAUCAGCAUGCCG
rnacentral:rRNA from 1 species